UACGUAGGGGGCAAGCGUUGUCCGGAAUCAUUGGGCGUAAAGAGCGUGUAGGCGGCCCGAUAAGUCCGCUGUGAAAGUCACAGGCUCAACCUGUGAAUGCCGCAGGAAACUGUCUGGCUUGAGUCCGGAAGGGGCGAGUGGAAUCCUGGUGUAGCGGUGAAAUGCGCAGAUACCAGGAGGAACACCAAUGGCGAAGGCAGGUCUCUGGGCCACUUACUGACGCUGAGAAGCGAAAGCAUGGGGAGCGAACAG
rnacentral:rRNA from 1 species